GGUCACCCAUUUCCGCCUUCUGUGUAUAUUUUUUCCAUUUUUCUAUGACUUGGGUUGUUUAUUCUUUCCAAAAGUGUUUUUCAGAGAACAUGGGUUUUAAUGAGGUUGUUGACUAAUUAAUUUCUCUGCAACAAUUCAUUGAUGCGGGUUCUUAAUCUGUGGUGCAGUCAGAAAUCUUCAAGAGAGUCUUCACCAACGACCACAGGUACUCCAACAGAUGAGCCGGGAGUAUCAGGGUCCGGAACCUAUGAGCAAGGAGUAUCAGGGUCCGGAACCUAUGAGCCAGGGGCAUCAGGGUCCGGAACAAUGGGAUCAAUGACAAUCGGCUCAGGGUCAGGCUCAGACUCUGGAGCAAUGCUGGCAGAUGGGUCAUGGUUAGCUGGUUUAGCCAUGGGAGACUCAGCCAGGGCUCACUCUCCAUCAUCAUUCGCUGCCUCUUUAGCUCUCUCUUUCCUCCUCUUCUCCUUUGUUUACUUGUAGCCCAUCGUUCUGUUAGCUUUCAUGGUUUUGGGUUUUCCAUGUGAAUUCAAUUACAUAUUUUGCAGCCUUAAUGGGCAUUGUGGGGGGUUUUGCCUUGUGUUUGGGAAAGAAGAAAGCUAACAAAUUACUCCAGACUGUGAACCACCCACUUCAAGAUUCCCCAGAAAUAUUCAAUGUUAACGUACAUACAUUAAAAAUAUUGUCCAGUUUUCAAAGUUCUGUCACUGUAGCCUUAAAGCAAGAAAUGGGGAUGUGGGGAUUGGGGGGUUUCAUCUUCUUUGGAUUCUUGAUUUGUAUACUACUGGUUUUGGGUUUUUUCCAGUAGACUCUGGCAAAAGGGUGAGUGAAUGAUGUGAAUGUGUGAGUAGGAUUGGUGAUGGGUGUGUGAGAAAUCAUCACUUUGCGGGCAUUGCAAGCUUGGCCCAGCUUUUUUUUUUUGUCUGUCCACCAUCGAGAUGCAUCUUUAAAUGGGCUCUUUCUCUUUGUUUUCAUAAUGGUAUGUGGGAUAUAAAGACAUGGAUAAUUAAGCUUUAUGUUGGAACUUUUGGCUGGACUUCUAAAAGAAAAUGACUUCAUCAUGUGGCCAACUAUGGCCAAAUGCAGUCUUGUCUUCCACAUACUACAACAUGGGAGAAUAAAGCCAAAGAUUAUGGAUCAUUUAUUCUUAGCUUCUUGAAGCAGGCUUGCUGAAUUUUUUUACAGAAACUAGUAUGAAUCCUUCUGGUUUUGUAAAAAUUAUGUCAUUGGAUGAUUUUACAUGUACAGCAAUGUUUAUGAAUAGGGGUAGAGUGAAAGAUUUCAACUUCCACCUCAAAAGUACUGAAGAAGACACUGGUCUUUUCACCUUUUCAGAAUUUGACCAAGCCCACCGGCCGUAAUCCAGGCGUAAUUGGAGGAGUGGCUGUCCCAAACUAAAACCUAGCUACUUUGGCUCAAGCCUAUUUUCUCAUUUUUCUUUUUGACUUCUAUAGUAAUACUUUAAUGCAACAUAUCAUCAGCCGUGAGAGUGAUUUUAAGAGGGUUAGAAGGGUUUUCUAAACUUGAAUUGGAGAGAGUAUAUCCAUGACUCGUAGGGCAGGGAUACAAUAAUUAAACACAUUAGAGAGGCCACGUCUUUUUAAAGGAUUUUGUCUCUUGUGCUUGGCCUUGAGCUCACUAUGGCAACAACCACAGAAGCUCCAAACAUGGUGAUAUAAUGCUGUUCAGCUAAUACUUGUCAGUUGGGCAAGAUAACAUAAUGAAAACUGCUGUAUAUUUCAGUCCUCCCCAACUCUCACAGCCAAACUUGUUCUUCAUGGGGGAAAAAUUGAAGGUAUUGCCCUUUUUUAGGUCACCAGUAGUUGGCAAAUCAAUAGGUCUACUAGUUGGUAUCAUGGAACAAUUGCAUCAUGGGCAAGUCGAUUUAUAUUCUGGGUCCUACACACUAUCCAUCUUCAUCAUACCUGUAAAGCCUUAUCAAGUUCUGCCAUUCAAAUUAAUUAUGUGGACAAAGUUCAAUAAAACAACGACUUUGUUGGAUGAUUUGGACAGCAUAAGGAAGUGGGAAUGGAGGUCAAGAGAAGGCAUAUUACAAUCCAUGUUCAAGGGAAAAAUAGAUGUGAAAGCUGAGUCUGCAUUGUGGUAGUUGAGGAAGAAGAAGUUAGGAUGAAGACUACGUGGAAUCAUUGUCAUCAUAAAAAGGUGAAGUGAAGAAUCAGACAUGUGAAAAACAAGCUACCUCGAUUAGAUUGAACAUGACCUGCUAUAGAAGAGAGUCUGAAAUCAUUUUCAUUGAUCCUUUAUUUGAUUAAGAAUUUCAAAAGAAAAUAUGGGGUUUGCUACUUCUUUAUAUAUGAAUAGAGUCCACCCAUGACCAUUACAAUAAGACCAGAAGGUAUGAAGAUGAAUUCCUUUUCUGCAUAGUCAAGGAGAAAGCAGUAAGCACAAGGGUUAUGGAGCUUUCCUAGGUAUCAUUAUGAAACAGAAGGAAGAAGUGUGGAAGGUGGGAUCACAGAGGGAACAGUGCAGUUAUGGAGUAGAGUCCCAUGCCUAGUCACAUGCCUUGGCCUAAUGUGGACACAAGAAGGGACAUCCCUAACAUUUUCCUCAUCUUCUAGUGCUUUGAGUUUUGGCAUAUGUUUAGGGACUCAUCCUUCAAUCUUAGCAUCCAAGGGUCAUUAAAUUCCCUUCCAACCACAUACAUCCCUAUCAAAACUGUUGAAUUUUGACUUAGUAUCUGCUGGAAUUUGAAUUUUGAAGUUUAAUAUUGCAGCUGGAGUCUUGCACAAAAUCUGCAACAUUCAAAUAUUUUCUUGUUUUUAUUUGGUCAAGAUUUGGUUUCUAUUUUAUACGAAGUAGUUGUUCAUCAUCCAAUAGCUUGAUUUUCUUCUAUUCUAAUGUCAUUUCAGUUACAAGCUCAUGUAUAAAUUCAGCACUCUUCAUCAAUAAAAUGUGUUCCAGCAACCCAAAAUACAUAUUCUGCAUAAGUGUUUAAAUCUUAGACCAACAAGGACAGUCACUUAAGGGCAAUGACCUUCUGAGUAGGGAAGUAUGAUGAGAUUGUGCUCUUUUUUCUCACUCCAUACUCCAUUUUCUGCGCUUGCACUAGUCCUUUCCUUUAUGCACGUUUCGGACUUUAGAUCCCUUCAUGAUGUAGGGGACCAUGAAUCCAAAUGCCCAAAUCCACAGCCGAAAAAUCGAAAGAAAUCGUAAGGAACAAUGAAAGAGAAGCAGAGUGAUACCAUGUCAUGGAAUUAGAAACACACUCUAGGACUAUUGCCAUAGUGGAGAGAUUGGAGCUUGGCAGCACGUAGAAUCCUCCAAAUUUCUUGCAAAAAUCUACAUAUUAUGUUUCUUGCUAAUAGAAAGAAAAAUUAAUCAGAGACUUCAAGCUACCUAAUCAUUUUCUCAUUGCUUGAAUGGGAUAAACAAACGUAUAUCAUGUGACUGAUGUAUUUUUUGUCAUUCUGCUAUAGUUCUGCCAUUGUUAGACCACAGUUAAAUCUAUAUGAGUUUAUAGUUGAAUGCUGAAGUGUCUGGUUUCAUCUCCUCUGCAUAGAGAGAAUGUUGAAUUUGCAGUUCUGUUGCCAUAUCUUACAGUAACCUGGUAUUCACCCAAGAAACCGAAAAAGCUAUACGAACCAUGGUCAUCAGUCUGACCCCCUAUCUCCCCAGUUUGCCAUUCUUUCAGGAUCUUGUCUACCACAUCACCAGCAGGGAGGUUAUGAAAAUUAUUAUCUGUUAGGCACAUUUGGUAACACCCAUAUGAAUGAAGUGCAGUCCACAGCAUUAUCCCAUUCACUGAAGGAUGUGAAAAGCCUUCUCUCAGUACUUGUUCUAGAUAUACAGCCUGUAAAGGAGACAAGGCAAGGGAAAAAAACUCAGCCCUUUGAGGGAAAUGAUGUUUGAAGAAAUGUUAAUGAAGGGUUUUUCUUGCUCACCUGUGUUUCCUUGCUAAGUGUAUUGCUGAUAUCUAUUUCUGUGAGCCAAAUGGGAAGCUGCAGAGUGGCCAACUUGUCUAGGAUAGCCCUGAUAAGAGGAGGGUUUGGUAUUGUGAAAUGGCCCUCAAGGCCAAUUCCACUCAUGGUUGCUCCACCCCUGCUGAGCUCUCUUAGCCUUGAAAUAUAUGCAUCCACUGUUGAAUUCACAUCACUGCAAGUCUCCACCACAUUAAAAUCAUUCAUGAAGAGGGUUGCUAGGGGGUCUGACUCGUGUGCAGUCUCAUAGAAAUGCAGGGUGGCAUCAGGGCCUAGCCGCUGCUCAUAGAAAUCAAAGUGAAGCAUUUCAUUACUAACAUCCCAAUGUACAAAUUCAUCUUUGUACUUGCUCAUUAGACUUUGAAUCCUGUUGUUGACAGCUGAUUGUAGGGCAGGGCCUGAAAGGUUCCGAACCCAUGCAGGCGUGUACUUGGGGUCCUCCCAGAAGAUAUUGUGCCCUCUAGCAACAAUCUGGUUUGCUCGGACGAAUUCCAACAUUUGGUCUGCUAAGGCAUAGGUGAUGUUCCCAGGAUCAGGCUCUGUUGCAUACCACUUGAGCUCAUUUUCAAACACUGCAGCAUUGAAUCGCUUCACGAACCAGUUCUGAAAAAUUGGAAGAAUUUGAAUUUUGUGUCUUUCUGCUUUCUAAGGUGCCAUCUUAAAGAUUUUGUGUAGACACUACCGACCUGAUAAGGCAAAUUCCCAAGAAUGGUCUUUGCUAUAGCAGAUCCAAAUGGGAAAUCCUUUGAGACUUGAUCUACUGUAAUUUCUGCUCCUUGCAGCCUCUCUCCCUGUGUGUUUGCUACAUGGAUUGUGACUGCACGUUUCCUUUCCUACAAGAAGUCAUUCAUUUUCUCAAUGAUCAAACAAGGGCCUAAGAGGGAAAGGGCUUCUAGUACUCACAGUGUUGAUUAUAUAUUGUUGAUUUGUGCUCCACUCCUGAUCGGUGAACGGCUGCAAAGAAGCACUUGUGAUUGCUAAAUCAACAGCUCUCUCAUCUGAAUUCUGCAAAACUGAAGAAUCAUCAGACAAAAACCUGGCCUUCUCAAUCUUUUCAAUUUCAUUUCUCUGUUUUCAUCUCAUUUUAUAACCUGAUUCUUCAUUAGUACCAGUAUCCAUCUGAUUCUUAAUAUCUUUAAUUACCUGAAAGAAGAGGAGAGAGUAAUCCAAGGGUUCAUCAAGAACGAACCCACCCUUUAGAAAAGACCAGCAUCCACGCCUAGCAGUAACCGUCCCUACACAGUUGAUUGUUUUUUUUUCUGACAUUAGGCUUGCCCUUAUAGGAGCUGAGUCUGCACCCUUUAUCUUCACCCAACCUGUUGACACCAAAUGUAGCAGAAAUGAAUCAACCCCACCAACUAUAUAAUGCCAUAAAGCCCUAGAAACAAUUUGCUUAAUGAUCUACUGUUCAAUUUUCUUACAUAAUCAUUUCAUUAUCCAAGUGAUCCCUAGAGAAAAGCCAUUUAGCUUUAGGCAAAAAGUUACUAAUUUCAAUGUAGAAAAGAGAAAAGAACUCAACUGGAGAAACAGUACUUGGUGCCAGUGGUGAGGUUGCGCAGGACGAAGGCGGGAGAAUAAACACCAUCAGCGAGCACACGUGGGAUAUCCCAGCGGGCGCCUUUGAGGAUCCCACCAUUGUAAAGAGGGCCCUCGGCCCGAGUUUUGCACUGCCAGAGGUAAGUGAAAAUGAUGAAUCAACACCCACAAACAACAUAAGACUCAUCGAAGAUGUGACCUCGUUAUAUACUAUUAUUACGUUAAUAAUACAGCUUCAAUGAUAUAAGAUGAAACAAUUCAAUAUGGGAAUGCCUGCUGUUUUUUGGUUGUCUCUUGCCUUAGAAAGCUGGAGAGAUAAACACAACAUCAACUGAAAAAUCUAUACAGCAAAUGCCCUGGUUUGGUGCUUACCUGAGUGUAGGCAGAAAAAUCAUAUAGAGGCCCAUCUGCAGUAUUGGACACCAAAUCAAAAAAUGAAAAAACCCCCAUCAACAUAAGAUACUGAAACCAAUGUGGGUGUGAAAGAGAGAGAUGGUACCAUAAGGAGCAGCUAAUGGAGGGUCUGCAAGGAAGAAGAGAAGCAGGAAGCAAAAGGGCAGACCAUACAUCAUGCUCUUGGUCUCUGCUCAGACCCUGAAGCUGCCAAAAACAUACAAAACCCUCAUAACUCUUUCAUGAAAUGAGGUAGGUUGCACAGAGAGAGAACGGGAGAGAGAGAGAGAGAGAGAGAGAGCUCACAAGGGAAAUAGUGCAGGUUCUGAGUAGCCCCGUGCCUUGCUCACAUGCAAGGCAGUAAGGGAGGCCUUCAUGUGAAUAUAAGCUGGGGUACAACUCAAAUCUCAUGCCUUUGAGUGUGGUGGCACUGGUAUAGAAGUUAAGGGAUUAGUCCUUGUUAACCUUUACUGAAAAUCAUCAAUGAUAUAAUUUAUUAUUGGCUCAGACCCCAUCAACGCAUCCGGCAACACUUUUAUUCCUUCAUUUGGCUUUAUUGAUCUCUUCUUAAGGACCAAUGUUUAGUCUGCCUUUUUGGUUUGAGGAGAGUCAAAAAAGGGUAAUUGCUUAAUGACAAGCCGUGUGGACCCUAGCAUUGUUCUCAAAAGUAAGCGUGGCACAACUUAUAAUUUUCUGUCAGUUCAUUCAAUGUUUUCUUUUUGUAGAUGAGCAACCAACCUAUUUAGAAGUCAUGGUUGAACUCCUUGCCAAUGGGUGAAAGAUUUCUCCUCUUUGCAUUCAUUACAAUUCUUAUUAUACAUGUGUUAUAAUGGGAAGAUAAGUCAUAAUAUCAUAUAGAAAAGAAGAAUCAAAAUCAUCGGCGAGAGUGAAUUUGGUUUCUAUAUUAAUGAAUUUUUUAUUCAUAUUUUCAUUCUGAAAAUCAAUCCAAACAUUAAUGAACGAUAAUUGAAUUGAUUUCUUAUUCAUAUUCUCUAAUUUAGCAUUUCAAACAAACCUCGAAGAAAUCGAUUUUGGUUUUUUCAUAAAGGAAUCAAACAUUUCUCAUGUUUUUAUGUAAUCUUCAUGCAUGUGUGAGAUCAAUUACUUAUACAUAGGAAAAAUGUGUAUGAUUCAAGUAAAAACAAAAAUGCCCAUCAAGCUUGAUAUUCAACUCCAACACUAGACAAACCAUAAUAACUUGCUUUUGGGUGAUCAUUGCAUAAUGACAAGCCUAAUUAUCAUUUCCACACUCUUUGGGCAAUUUCAAAAAAUUAGUGCCUUUUAAAUUGUUAAUCCAAUUAGAGAAAUAUAAUCCAAUUAGAGAAAUAUUGAAUAUUUGGUGCUAAUAAAUUAAUUUAUAAAAAGCAUGGGGAUUAAGAUGAAAUUAACUAUAAAAUUAGGUGUUUUUUAACAAAAAUAAAUCAUUGUAAUGAGUUUGAGAUCCAAAACUCUAUCAUGUGUAAGAAUUUUAAAAGCAGAGCCAUUUUGAAUUAUUAGUUAUUACCACUCAAAAAAACACCAAAAUAAGAUGAAGUUACAACCAAAUGUGAACAAAAGGUUUGGAUCUAGCAGAAGAGGAGAUGAACCAGAGAAGAAUGGUACAAAUUAAAAUUCGGUGAGAAUGGGAUUGAAGGCAGAGGAGAGGAGGGCCGACCCAUAAUUGAGGGAUUUGUCCUUCCUUGGUGGGGGUUUUUUGGAGGGUGGCCUUACAUGGGUCCCCAGAGAUUCAUAUAUUGGAUGCUACCUCUUGAGCAGUGACCCCACGAUGGGGUAAUUGAGCAGUCCUCCACUGUCUGUGGCAGUGGUCUCACGGCUGAAUUUGCACGCCAGGAUUAUAGCAAUGGACCAUUGGGUUCACACGCUCAAUCAAUGGUGAUGAUAUGUGGCAUAUUUUACUGCAGAAAAAUGUUAAAUUACUAUCCCCAAUUUCUAUAUUAUUUAGGGAACAUUGAAUAAAAAUUGAAAAAAUUGGAUUUAGUGUUGUAGGCCUGUAAGAUGAGCCCAACUACAUUAGACGGGCUAAACUAGAAGGUGGUCAUUCAAGGCUGUGGAAGAGACAAAAGGCCCAAGAUAGAAGAGAAGAAUAUCCAACUACAGCUGAGCCCAUUCCCAAAAGGGCCAGUGUAAGAGUAGACUACAAAAUCAACGGACCAUGCAGUGCAGAACUCAAACAACAAAGGAACAUUGAGCUCACGAAAUUUAAAAUAAAAAAAAAAAACAAAAAUUGCACAUAACUAUGACCAAAAAUACAACAAACAAUCAAUCAAUCCCCAUAGUACAAAUCUAGAAUGAAGAUCAAACCAUAUGGUACUUCAUGACCAAAUGGCAUGUUCAGCAACAUCAUGUAGAAAACCUACAUAAGGCAGCGCAUCUAGAACAAGUACCUGGCCAUAUGAUCUUUUUUGAUAAUAUGGGAAUGAUUUAUUUUUCAGAUUAGAACAUUUCUCUUGAGAAAUGCCCAUCAAGCUAUCGUUGUUCAACAUAAGAGUAUCACUGGGCAAAAGCCCGUCAAUCUUAUGUUUCUUCUCAUCUGGUCUCGUCCCGUCUCUUUGGGAUUGUGAGCAUUUAUCGGCUGUUGGAUGGGGCCGCUGGCUUCUUUGAUCUCUUGCUCGCGCGAAUCUUGGAGUAAACAUUCUUUGUUCUAAUUGCCAGUAGGACGUCUAAGCCAAACCCGAUAAUGCAUGAUAAGGCCAUUACCACGAACACCAGCCUGUAACAGUGGGGGCCUAUGCAUGUGGUGCCACCUCCUGCUGUGCGGGUAGCAUGGGCGUCAUACAACAAGCCAGCAAGCAGGCCGGAGAAGAGGAAGGAGCCAAGGGGGAGGUUGAGGAUUAGAAUGUUGUAGAUGAGACCAUAAUAUUUCAGGCCAAACAGUUCAGAAGCAAUGGGGACUGUGACAGCGAGACGAACUCCAUAGCAAAUCCCUACCACGACUGAACCAAUGUAUAGUGAGCCAGGCAAAGCCAUGGCCAUCACAACAUACCCAACUGCCAUCAGAAUCUGAGAAGCUGCAUUCCAGAAAGGUCUUGGUGUUCCAGCUUUUCUGCAAAUUUGAAACCGAGCAUAAGACUACUAAAUCAUUCUGCAUUGAGUACAGCUAUUAAAAAGUUUGUCCAAAGUCCUAGGAGUUAGCCAAGGGCAUAUGGCAGUUGAUUACAUGGUCUUGAGUAGAUAGAGUAUCUCCUAGUCCAGAAAAUCAAGCUUUGAAUCCAUCCAUCAUACAAUGGAAAUUAGUUAACCUACUUGCAUUUGCCGGUAUUUUAGGGGGAAACCUGUCGACUUAAGCCUAUACUAGGCAUUGACAACAACCCAACAAAGAUUGCAUUGGUAUGAACUCACAUUUUCUUGCCAAAGAAAAAGAAACAACCCACUUUGGGUGGACUCGACUGUCAAAUGGGACUCAUAUGUAUGGUCUUGAUCGAACUUUUACCAUGGAAUUAUGGAAUAAGAAGGCACGAAAUGUAGCCCUAGAACUAUUUUGGAUUCAGAUAGUGUGGUUAAGAAUGGACCAGGGUAACAUCCAAGAGGUGGGCAGAUUGUCAAUUUGGAAAUCGGGUGGGGGUAGGACCUGACCAAUUUGUUUGGGGUUCAUCCCUUCACCCUCCCAAAUGGACAAAUUUUGCCACAGCACUUUUCCUUUAGACUUAAAGCCAAAAGGGAUCCGAUGGUUAGGACUGCAAGCGAAGGCAUCACAUGAUCUUCACACAGACCAGUUAAACAACUUAAUUCUUUCAAUCAUCAUCAACCACUUACAUCAUGCUGUGGAUUGAUCAGGAACCUUUUAUGUUGAAAAGAACUUAGGAGCGUUUUUUCUGUUAGCCGAAACUUUUCAUUGAAAAGAACUUGGGCGAGUUUCUUUCUGUUAACCGAACACCUCAGAGACCUUUCUUUAAGAUUUUUUUCCCCUGAAAAAGGCCAGUUAACAGGAACAUGAAGAAAAUUGUUCUUGUUUUGUGUUAAAACAGCCUGCAACAGAAAUUCUGAAACUCUUUCACCGCUUCAAUUUUCAAAGUCCAAAAGCAGGUUUGAGGAAAAUGUGCUUGGAAGACAAAACCGAACGUGUCUCUAAUAAUUCAAAGUUGUACUGGGAUCCCACCAUGUGGGUACUUGUGGGACAAAGGGAUUAUUCACGAGUCCCUACCGAAAAGCAGAAGAAAAUUCCUAGAAACUCAAAACCUCCAAAAACAGGGAGACUCAGCUUGGAAUUAUGAGUCCCUGAUUGAAAUCGUACGAAUUCAAAGGACGGAGUACGGAUUUUCUAACCUUUCUCCUAACUGAAAGAGGGAGCACCCCACCAAGAUUAAGCUGUUAGGAUACUUUUCUCUCUUGAUCCCCCUCACUUUGACCCCUAAAAUAUCCACCCAUCACAAGGAAAAGAAAAAAAUUUCCAAGGGGGGACCCUAAGAUGGUGAUCACCAGAACAGUAUCGACCAGAAGUUAGGUCUUGGAGAGGGGUUGCAAACAACAGUCCAGCCACGAUGUUUCCUCCAUCCAAAAAGUCAAUAAUGAGCUAAACCGACCUACAAGGUAAACAAACAUUAAACAAUAAUGUACCACCACCCUCGCACUGUACUAACAAAAACCCAGAGGAAGUUUCUGUUCAAGACCCCAUUCCUGGAAUGUCUUCUUCAACUUUUGACAUGAACUUAAUGGAUUGGCAUCAAACCAGUACAAAAUUCAGAUAUGAAAUUGCCCUGCUCCUCUACUAAGACCAUUUGACUUCAACCUCAAAUUCCAAAACAGAGUGUUCAUAAUUAUGUUCUAAAACCCAAGAAUGGUUAGAAUAUUCCAUGGAACUAUAUGAACAAGUGCCACUAAAAAAUCAAAGCAGAAGUAUAAUAAGAUUCAUGGAUGAUUAUAAUUAGCAAGUAGGCAGUUGAAGUGGUAGUUAAAACUUACCCUAUGAAGUAUUCUGAAACUGAACCGGAUAAAAUUCGGCCGAAAAAUCCCCAAAUGCUUGUGAGGGAGACGAAAAUGGAGACAUCCACGUAGCCGAGAGCUAGACCCAUUUGUCCCAUGUUAUUCAUAACAGCCAAACCAGUGCCAACUCCACAGAGGAAGGAUGCAAAGAGUAUCCAGAAAUCAGUGGUGCUGAUUGCUUCAAUAAUUGUGUGAUCCUCCCCAAUUGACGGCCGGGGUCGUUUGAUUUCCACCACAGGCUCCACCUUUUCCUCCGAUGCCGGAGCCGCCAUUUCCGGCUGACUGUUUUGACUCAGGAGGGUUUCGGUGAUUAGACCCUCGAUGUCGGAACUGGGUUUUGAACCGGACCGGUUAAAAUCCUGUAGCAUGAAAUAGAGAGGGAUUGAGAGAGGGCAAGCCAGGAGGAAGAGCAGGACGACGGCGAAUGCCUGAGAGAGGAUGCGGCUAUGGGAGCCGGUGACGUCGAAGGUGAGGAGAUAGACGGCGAGGACGACGGCGACGAUGUUGAAGAGGUUGAAGAAUUUGGUCUCUUCCUUCUCGCCGGCUGCGGUGGACGACGAAGGGACCUCGCGGAGGAAGAGAAUAGCGGAGAGGCAGACAAGAAGGGGGAUGAUGGCGAGCAUGAGGAGGAAGAUGGCGGGGUCGUCGGCAAAGAGAGCAGUGCAGAGGUCAGUGAAAAUGGCGGUGCUCAGACCCACGUAACCCUUCAAUAUUCCGGAGACCGGACCUCGAUUCGUCCGGAAGUUUCGGAUGCAUGUCACCAGAACCGCCGUGUUCAUCCAUGUCGUACUGUUGCCUCCCAUGCAUAGAAAUAUACACAUCUGCAACACAUACUCAUCUCUCUAUUAGUAUUUCGAAAUCAUUUUUCUUGCUUUUUAAAGCAGAAACAUCAACCUAUCUAAUACUAAUUUUUAGCUUUAAAAGUCCAUCAGAAGGAAUUAUCAAAGCAAAGCUUGCUUUGCCUUGUCCAAACAAGGACUCAUCGAAGAACUUUCUUGCUUCUGAAAACAGAGUCUGAUUUCUGAAAGCAAAAAGCACUUCCAAAAUUCUAUCAACAAAAACCCAAAAUUCAUUUGAAAAGCUUCUGGUGUUUUCCCAAAUGCUUUAAAUGCACUUUCUCAAAAUGCCCACCUGCCAAUAGGGAAGCGGCUGGAUUUUCCGGCUGACGACCAGCCAUUGAACCCCAUACCCGACAAGCCCUUCAAUCGACCCAAUAAGAAGCAUCAUCGGAGUGGACAACCGGUCGGAGGCGAGACCGGAGAGGAGGCCAAACGCCUUGCCCACAUCCUUGGCAACAGAGAGGUUGUUGAGUUGCAACUGGGUGAGAGCCAUUAACGAUUUGAGAGCAUCUGAGUAGUUGGAAAAAGUGUAGUUGUUGCCGGAGAUGGACUGAACCCAAACGGCCGUCACAAACCCCAGCCAUUUUCUGGAGGAGGACGCUGGAGAUAGGUGGAAGCCCAUUGUUGCGGAUUCCUACAAUCUACCAGUCUCGCGGAGAAGGAGGUUGCAGAUGAUUGAAGGAGGAAGUUGAAUUGAACGGUCGGUGGCGUUGAAACGCAGCGUUUCGUAUUUAUGUUAGAUUUUGGGUGAAUGGAAUAUUCGAAUUUUGAUUGGUGACUGCAUCCUCCACCGCGACACAUAGAAUUUUUAUUUUUUUUCGUUUUGUUUUUUAGAAAAAAAUAAAAAAACAAAAUAAGUAAAUAAUAUAUCUGAAAAAAGGUUAGAAAAUGUACAAAUUCUUAAUUAAUAUAGAUUGUUCUUUCUAACAAAAAUAUUGUAUAAAAUAUUUUAUUAUAAUAUUAGAUUUCUUGCAAUAAAUACAAAUUAUUGAAAAUAUUUCUAUAAAUAUUAUAAAUUAUAAGAAAAAAAAAGAAGAUAAAAACGACUUUUAGAGAUUAUAAUAGAUAGAAUUGUGAGAAAUAUCGGCACAUGUAGUGAAAAGAUUUUCUUUCAUCAAUCAAAGUCAUGUUAAAUAUUUGAAAGAGUUGUAAGGAAAGCUGUUGAAAAUACGAGUAGAAAAGGUCUUGAGAUGAAGUUGUAGAGAAAAUAGAUAUAAAUAGAGAUGUGAGAAAUAACAGGAGAUGCCGAUGGAGUCGGACUCGUAGUUUAAGGUUUGAAUAUAAAUAAUCGGGAAACACGGGAUAUUUGAGAACUUAUAUAAUUUUAUCAUUUAUAAUUUUUUUAUAUAGCAUACUUAAAUAAGCCAUGUUAAAACCUUAUAUAUAUUUUUAUUUAAGUGAUCAAACUAUCACAUCAAUUUAAUGUUAAAAAAAAUUAUUAUAAAAAAUUAUCCUUAUUUGAUUAACCGAAUAAAUAGAAAGAUUUUUUUAGUUUUAAUAACUUUAAUUAUAUAAACCAAUAAUAAAAAGGAUAAUUAAAUAUUGAUUUUCCUAAUCAAUUUAAUAAUUUUUUAAAAUAAUCCCUUUUUAUAAGGUAGAUUGUAUUUAAUUUAAUAUAUAUAUAUUAUAUGAAAAUGAAUAUUAUGGAUUUUUGAAUUUUUAUAUUUGAAUAAAAUAUAUAAAAGUAGAACUUUGCUUAUAAAAAAUUAUUUCCUGCAAAUAAAAUAAAUAAUAAUAAUUGUAAUAUUACGGCAUUAUAAGGUUGCUGAGAAAGUUGGCGCCAGGUAUUCAAUAACUAGACGUUUCCUCCAUAUCAAUUUCUUCAAUCUUUUUCUCGAGAAAACUGUUUGCCGGGAAAACCGAAAGUAAAGGGCAGAGACUUUUCUUGGUGUAGCCGACAAGCCACCCAUUGGUUUUGAAAUGACGUUUUUCCGGCACGCGCAAACGCACCCCCACAAGUUUUGUAGUUGGUAUAUGGAACGGAAUUCAAUGGAAACGACACCCAUAUGUUUCGUAGUUUGCCCACCAAAUUAAACUGUCAUGUUUUACAAAUGUUUUUAAUAAUAAUAAUAAUAAUAUUAUGACCGACUCCCCUAAAAUCAAUUACUAUUAAAAAAAAGACACAUAUCGUAGUCUUAUAACGUAUUCAUCCAAGCAUCUAUGUCGAAUACUAGGGAAGUUGAUGGACACAGCUCUGAUACCAUUUAUAGAACUUCAGAUGCUAUCAACUCUCUUAAAAGCAAUUGCUGUUAGAAAAUGAACAUACCCUAAGUAUUUAUCAAAAUUUUCACAACGAACACAAAGAGAGUUGAUGGGAUAUGGUCAACCUUACGUGAACAAUUAUUAUUAUUAUUAUUAUUAUUUCAACUAAGAAAUCAAUAUUUUGAAUAUGGAAAGAAUUAUUAUAGUUUUAUGGAAGUGUUAAAAAAAAAAGACACUAUAAAAUAGACUCACCUUUGAACUCUUAAAAAAAUGAAAGGAAAAAGACAAUAAUUAGUAUCAUAUUUGGUUUAAUUUUCUUUCUCGAGUUUGUUUUUAAAAGUUUUAAGGGGAAAAAAUAAUUAAACAAGUUAAGAAAAGAUAAAUAAAUAAAUUUAAAUUUGAUAAAUUAUAUUUAUAUGUUUUUUAAAACUUUUUAAACUUUUAUAUAUAUAUAUAUAUAUAUAUAAAUUAAAUGAUUUAAAAAUAUACAAACUUCUAAAUAAUUUAAAAUGUAUAUUUUAUGAUAAACUAAACAAAAACGCUUUCUUAAUGCACUUGAACAAUCAAACAAGAGUAAUUUUUUGAAAUUUUUUUCUUGAAGAACCAAAUAUAGUUGUAAACUUAUUAUAAGUGAUAUUUUAGAUUUAAAAAAUUGUUUCUUAAAUUUUAUCAAACACCCUUUAAAUAAAAAAAUAUUUUUAGAUUAAAAAUAUUUUUUAAAAUCAAUAUCAAAUAGACUUUUAAUAAUAUAAUUUUCUAAAAUAAAAUCAUAUUAACAAAAUAAUUAUAAUUGAGUUUUAAGUAAAAGAUGAGUUCAUUGUAUAAAAAAAAAAAUCAUAUUUUCAAAAGAUGAAUUCAACAUACAAACUUUUAGGUUGUAAAGUGAAUUCGUCUUUUUAAAAGACGAAUUAGUAUCAUAAAUUUAGUAUCAUAUUUUGUAUUUAUUUUUUAAAUAAUUAUUUUUUAAUAAUAUUUAAAAAAAAAAAAAAAAAAAAAAGGCCCCAUGCUAAAUAGCCAAAAUUGAAUUUUGUCCAUUUUUGAUACCCUGUGAUUUGGUGUUUUACAUAUAAAUGCGUGUCCUUGAUAGAUAACCACUUGGUCUUAUCUCUAUCGCCAACUUUUCUUGACCAAACACGUCCUCUUUCUCACCAGACCCAUCGCCCAUCAUGGUCUCCAUCGAAAUUUAAUCUUGAGCUUAAGGUCUCUCACCAGACCCAUCAUGGUCUCCAUCAAAAUUUAAUCUUGAUCUUGAGGGCUCAACCUCUUGAGAGUGAUACGAAAGUGCUCUGAUUUUCCGGGAAUCCAAUCACCAAAUUGGAAAAAAUUUCUGGGUUAUGGCGGGGUUGAAGGCAACUUAUCAAAGCUCCUAGCGGGUGGGCCUGGACAGGAAGAUGUCCCAUUCAGAAUGUCCUGUUCGAUUGCUUAUCAACAUCUCAAUAUCCAGAAGUAUCUAUCAAUAUGUACGGCUUUUGUCUUGGAUUUGAUUUAGAGGAGACAGGGUGAUCUCUUUCCUGUGGGUGGUGGGCCUUUGUUUUUAUUUUUUUGUAAGUCUUGGAAAAUGAGGAUUUAUAUCUGCUAUGAUUUUUUGAUGGGUAAAAAAUAAAAAUUACUUAAUAUAAGAGCUUUAAUAAUUCAACAUUAAUUCAUUUUCUAAACUCAAGUGCAUUAACUAAGCUUAGAUUAUCGAGAAUAUACAAAUUCACCUCACCUAAAUUCAUCUCAUCUCAAAAUGAAGAUCAUGAAAAGAGACGACCUCCAAACUUACAUAUUAACCUAAUUGAUCGAUCUACAACUAAAAAGUAAUAUUCAACUACCCUUGUCCUCACAUGAUUGAAGGUGAAUAAAAAAUUUGCAUCAACAACAAAUAAAUGAUUUAUAUAAAGCCCUUAUCGUGAAGUAUGAAGUAAUUUUAUAACUCUUGCUUCUAAUCACUUGGAUAAGAGCAUUAACAAUUCAACAUCAAUUCAUUUUUUAAACUUAAGUGCAUUAAUUAAGUUUAGAUUAAUGAGAGUACACAAAUUCAUCUCACCGCAAAAUAAGGAUCAUGAAGAGAGACGACCUCCAAACUUACAUAUUGACCUAAAAUUGCUCUUGUCCUUACAUGCCCAAAGUUUUAUCAGAAAGAUUGCAACAACAACAGAGCAGUAGCUUAGAUAAAGCCCUCGUUAUGAAGGAAUGAAUUGCUCCAUAACUCUUACAAUCACUUAAAAAUUUGUGUAAAAUUUCUCAUAGAGGUUCUUCCUUUGUAGGAAAUUCCUCUUUGAAGUUAAGAGGGAACCAAGAAGAGGUAGAAUAAAAUUUCAGAAGAAUUUUGGCUUCUUCGAUUCGUGUUUUGGGAUGUUUUUGUUUUGAGUCUUAUGAGAAAACAUGUGGAGAAAAAAAGUGAUAAGCACUGAGUCAGAGUGGGCAACAAUCGAGGCAUGGAUUUGGCCCGGGCCGAAUGAAGACAUAAACAGCUCAGCUGAGAGCCUGAGAGCUGCAUGUGCUUUUGAAUGUGUCUGAUAGUGUGAUUUUUGGCACGCUCUUCAGCUAUUCAGAUUUCAGCCUGAUGCUAGUGUCAUUGAGGUACGGGUUGGCUCAAAAUUGUAUAAUAUAAUUGCCUUUUUGAUGGACUUCAAUGAUUGCACUACUAAACUUAGGUGUGGUUGUAGUAAAUUUUUUUAAGUAGUUUUUAAAAAUUUUAAAAUACUUUUUAAAACAAUAAAUUGAUUUUAGAAGAAAAAUAUUUUAGUCUAUCUUACAAAAUGGUAUCAGGCUUAUGCAUAAUAAAUUCCUCUAGAUUUAAUUAGAUUAUGUUUAUUAACUUUUUUUUUAUAAAAAAAAUAGGAUUUUCUUUAUAAAAAAAAAAACACAUUUAGUAACUAGUAAAUAAAAAUAGUAUUUUAUUCUUAUGUUUUCAAAAGAAUUUAUUUUUUAUUUUUAGUUGUUUUCACUUAUUUUUUAAAAUAAUUAUACAAUUUUUAAAAAUAAUUUAAAAUAGAGCAUUAAGUAUAAAAGUUAUUUUCUAAAAUACAUUUAAAAACAUAAAAAAAUAUAAUGAAAAUAUUUCAAAUUCCUAAAUAGACUUUUGUUUUAUAAAAUAUUAAAGAAUAAUUUUCAAAAACUGUAGUUGAAGACAAUCAACAAAAACAUCUUAAAAUUAUUUUAAAUGUAUUUUCAUAUAUCACACUAUUUUCAUAACAAAUUUUUAAAAACCUAUUUUUAUUUCAAAAUUUAUCAAAUGUGUUUUUGAAAUCAUAAAAAAUGAACAACAAAACAAUAUUUGUAAAAAUAAGUUGAUAAACAUGCCAUCAACACCAACAAGGAAAAAGGAAUAUUAAUUAUAUUCAUACAAAUCAUAUCAACAUUUUUUAAAAUAUUAAUAAUAUUUAAAAUAACAUUAAUCCUAUAUCCCACUUGCCCACUAAUUAAUGUCUGCACUUAUGUAAUCUUGAGGAUUAUUCAAGUGGGUAUUCAUAUUAAACAUCAAACCCAUGUGUCAAAGACAUUGUUAAUUGGGAAAAUUAGAUAUUUUCCCUUUAAUAUAAUGACAUUAAUGAGAAAGAGUCACGAAACAGAUCAUUCUUUUAGACUAUGGGCGCACUCAGGUAUGUCUGCAUCCCACUGUCGGCCCAACUUCUUUUUUCACAAUGAAAAUGACCCCCCAAAAAAAUCAACGGUCGGAAAUUAUUUUUGGUGUUUGUUUGGUAGGUGGAAGUCAAUUGCUUUGAUUUACUCUCAAACCUGACGGUGGUUUGCUUUGAACAACUUUGUAUUCAAUUGACUACGAUUUUAAGAAUAGUUGUUAAAAAACAUUUUUUUUGUUUUAGGAAACAACAACUUAUUAUAUUUGAAAUGAGGUUGUUUUUGAAAGUAACAUGUUUUAAAAAUAGUUUUAAAUAAUAAAAAGUUGUCAUUGAAAGCUAUUUUUUGAUAUAUAAAAAAAAAAAAAAAAUUUUAAGAACAUUUUUUAUGCAUUUCCUUUACCCGAAUGACUAUUGAUUUUUGUCUGUUUCGAAAAAUGUUUAUGCGCUUAGAUUUGGUUUAAUUGCUUGUAACUAUGGGAGAAUAUGAAAUUUUGGUGGUGUCAAAAUAGUUAAAUAAGUUGAUUUAAUAAUUUAAUUUAUAUUAUUAAAUAGGUUUGAUAAAAUAUUUUCAUAUUACAACUCUAAGUUAAAAAAUGAUUUAAAAUAAUGAUAAAAAUAAUUCAUCUCAAAUACAAAAAAUUAGGAUUUUCGAUAUUCAUAUUAAACAAAAUAUUUAUUUAUUCUUAUCACAUAUAGAUUAAAUAAAAAUAAAUUUAUCCUAUGUGGACCCCGUAUUUCUACACAUGCGUUUUAACUCGAUGACGAACUUGCUAAUGAUUUGGAAUUGAAACGAGAUGAAAGUCCCUGGAAGGGAAAUCACUGGGCCGGAGGAUCAAAACUGGGCUUAGGCCUCCAAAGUUGUCUAGCCCAAAAUUACAUUUUGAUCUGGUACUUCAAAGAGUAGAAUAAUCCAUCCACAAAUCUGACUUCCAGCCAUCAAAUCUAAUGACUUUUUAAAAUUUCCAGAGAUCCUGAGAUUAAUGGCUCUGCAAACACUGCAACCAACAACUACUGACAGUGGCGUUUCGGAUGGGGUGUAGAGAGUGAGGGAUCCUUGUUGAUGGUUGAUCGGAGAGCAGGCGGCGAAGGAUGCGUCGAGAAAUUUCGAUUUUGCUUCAGCCACGAUGGAUUCUUCCCAUUCUCAUCGCCACUAUUUUACUCAUUCUUUUCCUGUCCGUUUACCCUAGGGUAAUUUUCUGACAACCCAUUCUGUUUGGAUGCUGAGAAAAGGUCCGAAAAAUGGAGACCCACUGCGAUUUUUGGGUUUUUGUUUUUGGGAUCUUUUCCCAGAAAGCUAUAGAUUGUUUCGGUUAUGCUGAAUUGGUGUGUUUUUUUUCGCUUUUUUAAGUAUUGGAAAAGUCAAGAUUCGGAAAUUUGGUUGCUUUUAUUUUCCUCCCCAAUUUUCUCAGCAGCUAGAGGGUUCAUGUUUGCGUGUGUGUUCUUUUCUUUUUUGCUUUUGGUAUGGUGGGUAGAUUUGGUGAAGUAAUUUGGGGUUGUGGUUGACUUGGGAUUUGAUUUUUCCAAUGUGGCGAUUUAUUAAUGAUUUUGCGGUCUCAAAUAAUGGAAAAUCUAAAAUGUGGAGCUUUAUUUUCCUGCAUUUCUCAGCAACCAAAUGGGGUGUAGAUAUAUGUUUCUGUGAAAUGGUUUGUUCUUCUUGUUCAUUUAGGGAGGUGCGCAUUUUCUUCUUCUUUUUAUUGUGGUUGUAAAUUUGAUGAAGAAUCGUGGGAAUUCUGAAGUGAUUUGGGUUUCUCUCUUUAGAUUUGGUUUUCUAAAUAUAGGAAUGGAUGUUGCGUGGAUCAGAUUUGUCACUUUGUGAUGGGAGUUUGGCUGAUAGUGACAGUAUCUGAUUUUGUGUGGGCUAUUGGGGACUUUAAGGGAUUAUGUGGAUUUUGUUUUAUGCUAGUGAAUGCUCUGAUCCGGGUUCAACAAUAAAACUAGAAUCUAUGACUCUAUGAGAUUCUCUAGGAAAUCAUCAUUACAACUUUAAAAGAUGACAACCAAUUAUGUUUCAUUAUUAUUGUUGUCACAGAUGGUUGCUCUGUAAGUUUUAAGUUAAGAAGAUGCUAUUGAUAAGGUACAAGUGAGGAAAGAUGGCUUGUUAUAUUUGAAGUUGUUUUUUUAUUCAUCUAGUAUUACGUGUUUAAGGAGAUGACUUAUAGAAUUGUGGAGUGCCUUUUAGGGAGAGAUGUGAUUGAUUUACCAUGUUUCUAAAUUGUUUUGUUACAAUAAUGUGCCUUCUGACACAAAAACGGGUACUGGAACUCUCAGCAUUGCAUGCAAGAUAUUAUAAGAUAUGUUUGUUUGAGUUUCAUGUUGAUGGAAUACACAAUUUGCUCAGUAAAUAGCUAGAAAAAUUAAUUAGAUGAGGAAAAGAUGUCAAGUAGUUGGUUUAAGGUGGAAAAGAUCAGUCGGAGAUUAUGAGCUAUCGAGUUUGUUUGGGAUAAGUAACAUUCAGAGUGCUUUAAUGGGGAUGGGUCUUGGUAAGUUUGUUUUGGAACUUCUGUUGCUACUGAGGUGAGCAAUUGUGAUCAGUAUAAUACAAGCAAAGUGAGUAUCAAGGACACUAACCCUCAAAGAACAUUGAUUAAAAUCUCAUGCUGGAGAUGGACGAUGGCUUUGGUGAUUUUUCUUCCAAUCUGGAGUUAAGUACAGUCAUGGUUGUUUGCACUUUCCUAAGAUUUGAUGAGUAUUGAAUUCUCUGAGGCAGGUAUUUGGAGGUCAUUGGGUGGAAAGCGGUUACUGAGUUAUAGUCUUCUACCACUUUUGAUGUAGCAACUCAUGUUGAAAUCCCAACCCUAGUUGAUCAGAAAAUGUUAUCACAAAAUUUGUCCAGAAGGUCAAAUUCAGUCUGCUAUGAAACAACGUAUUUGGAUUUUAGUUGAGUAAUGCAGGAGAAGUCAAGCAUAUGGAUGUAGUCUUUUAUGGGUUAAUUGUGAAUGUCUUGUUUGAUUAUGAUUUUAGUUUCUAUUUUCUUCAUGGUUUGUUACUUUCUCUGCAAAACCAUGGUUUUCAUCGACUUUUGGACUGAAAAUUAGUUAGAUUUGGUGUUUUAGCGUUUUAACUUUCAGAAACUGGAUUAGAGCUGCUUGCAUGGCUUUGAGAAAUAUACUCAAUAUUGAAGAAAUUUAUUUGUAUUUGUCUUUUCACUUGGUGAUGGUUCAGAGGGUUGGGAGCUUGUGGAUUGCUUUUAUUUGGUUUUAUAUAGUAGCUUCUGGUGAUGUAUGUGCAUCAUGAAAAACAUAAUGAAGUUCAUUUUUCACACAUAAUCAUGGCAGUGGCUGUUCGAUUUUUCCUCUUCAUAAAAGCGUUUUAGGAUCAUGAGUUGCCUCCUUUCAAAGAAAAGAGGUUUUAGUUCUUGUUCUAUGAUUUCUUUUUCUGAUAAUUACAUUGAUCUACAUUUUUUCCUUUUUAUUUGGUUGGUGUAACGUCUGAUGACUAAAUCUCCAUGUUUGAGAUUCUUGUUCUUAAUCUGACUGCAAUUUUUUGGUGAUAAUACUCCCAUAAAGAUGCAUCUUUCCUUUUUAUCAAUUACCUGCAAUUGUAUUGAUUUACUUACUCAAAUUUGAUGCUAGGGGGAAGAGACGGCAGAAGAGGUGCCUGAAAUUACUCACAGAGUGUUCUUGGAUAUCGAUAUUGAUGAACAACAUAUAGGUACAGAUUCACACCUAAUAGCAUUGAAUAAAUUGUGCAGUUAAUAAACUUGUUGAAGAAGGUUUUUUUCCUCUGAUUUUCAUAUAAACUUGGCCAUAGUUUCUCAAAUCUAUAUCUUCUCUGGUCAAUUUGAAGAAAACUUUGAGUUUUUUUGCAUCCAAUUGGAUGAUAUCUCCUUGAACAGUCAGUAGUUGACCUUGAACCUAGUCUCUCUCUCUUUCUUUUUUUCUUCAUACAGUUUAAUUUCUUUUGUUUUUUCCCCUCUAUUUUGGUAUGCAGCCUCAUUUAUGGCAUUAUUUGCAAGGAUUUCAUAAAAUUUCUGCUUUUCAGCAAUUUGAUCCCACCUAUAAUAGUUAUUGUGGUACUUGGGUCAACCUACUGACUUGUUCACAAGAGAGCUACAUAGCAUUCUGUUUGGUAGAGAUCCAAGGCCACAGUUUAUUUCAAGAUCACUCGGUGCUGUGGAGUAUUUAACUCAUUUUAAGGCAUCUACAUAGAAUAGUAAAAAAUUCAGAAGCAUUAUGGAUACUCCUUGACAAAGUUGAAAUUGUACUCCCCAUCUUUCUUUGUCAGCACACCUGUUGGUUAUAUAUCCAAUAGGAUGCAACCUGUGUCUUAUACAUAUAACUAUCAUGCAUCAUGUUAACAAAUGCAAUUUGCUCAUUUUGAUGUGUCUUUGUACAUGGCUAGUAUUUGAAAGUUGUGUGUUCUUUCUCCCUUUCCUUUUGUGUUCCCUUUCCUUACUUCAUCUUAUCAUUUCAAUUUUAGUUAGUCCAGGUUUGGAGUCACGUUUUCUAUCCUUCAAUGGUUGAUUUAGUAAUGGGUCUGUGGGUGGGUGGACUAGGGCUGUUCAAUGUUAUUUAUUACCAGAUAGUCCUUUUUCCAAUUUUGACCCACUUAAUUACUUUUUAUUCCAUUGAUGAAUAUAUAAUGUUCCUAUAUUUCAUCUGUUUUUUCCCUAUUUGUUAUUGAUUUUUAAUUUUACACCUGAGUUUCUGCAGGUAGAAUAGUUAUUGGUCUGUAUGGCAAUGUUGUACCAAAAACUGCUGGUAUGUGUUUGAUCUUCUUUAUGAAUACUUUAAUGUCAGGAUCCUGAAACUAGGUCAUCUAUUUCAAAAUGUAUAUUCGUUUUUCUCUUAAUAAUGGUUGUAAUCUAUUACUUCUUAACUGGUGCUUCAAGUUGAUUCUUAUUAUUCAAAUAAUAUUAGGUGUACAUUUACUGUCUUAAACAAAUUAUGUUUACAUAAUUAUAUCUUGAGUCUCAAUUGCUUUUGAAAACAUUGUGCUUGUUUUUAAACAAACACCCAAAAUUGGGAGAAAACCUUUGUUCAUUCUAUUUAAACUUUUCUUUAUGUUGCACACUGAAUGUGCCCAUUGACCAUGACUGCCUUUUUUUUUUUUGUCAAUAUUUGAUUUCUUCUUUGAAGCUGUAUAAUUACUGAUUGACAUCUUGUGCUGAGAAAAAUUUGAAUUUCAGAUGAUGCUUAAUAGUCUAUUUCUUCAUAAAGAAUUGUUGGUAUUUGUUUGAUUUAUUCACGUGUCUCAUAUUUGCCUAAUGCUUGAGUUUUUUGUUAGCAGAAAACUUCCGGGCUUUGUGCACAGGUACUUUUAGACCAUUCUUCUCAACAAUUUCUUAUGUUUCUUGAAUGUUUAGAAAUCUCAUACUAUUGAAGGAGGCAGAUUUUAUUAUUAAUAUGCUGGUAAUGACCUUGUUAUUUCAAUGCAGGGGAGAAGGGCAAAGGUGCCAGUGGAAAAAAGCUUCAUUAUAAGGGGACACCAUUUCAUCGUAUAAUAUCCGGAUUCAUGAUCCAGGGUGGAGAUACUGUCCAUGGCGAUGGGAGAGGGAGUGAGUCUAUAUAUGGUGGCACAUUUCGAGAUGAGAAUUUCAGGAUAAAACAUUCACAUGCAGGUUCUCUAUUACAUCUCUUUAUUUGGUUGAUUUUUUCUUCUGGUUUCUUGUAUACUCCCUAGACAAAUUCUCUUUAAAAGUUUUCAUAGGGAUUCAAAAUUUUCAAGAUUGAGUUUGUUCCUUUCUCCCUUCCUCUUUGUGAAACCAUAUAUUGCUUGGUUGUAGGUGUUGUUUCCAUGGUGAAUUCAGGACCUGAUUCUAAUGGCUCUCAGUUUUUCAUCACCACAGUCAAGGCUAGCUGGUAAGCUACUCCAUAGAAUCACCAAAACACUGGAAAAUUUUAGCCAUUAUAAUGGCGGCCUGAGCUGGAAGAUGAUUUCCUAAGAAACACAACCUACUCUAUCUUCCAAGUAAUGAGUCCUUUCAUUAAGCAUUUUUUUAUUAAGCAUCCAUCCUGAGCCAUCCACUCUCACUGUGAUAAUACUGAUGCAAUCAGAUCAAUCUGAUUACAGUGAGGUGUGUGAUUUGCUACUGACCAUGAUGCAUAAGAUAUACUCUGCUAGAGCUAAAAUGUCUUUAAAACCUGAAUCUAAUUAUAAAUUACUCUGUGUCUAUAAGUGCCCUAAUUCCAAGGAGUCUGUCUACAAAGCUAAGGAUAAUUGCCAAACAUUUUGUGGGUGUUGCAUUACCUCCAUAUUUUAGUCACACAUGAACAUGCCAAUCAUUGACCUGGAUUGACAUUCUCCUUAGUGUGAGGCUAAUUUCAGAUCUGAUCAUGCUGCACUAUUGAUAUAAAUGUUUUGGGGUCUGAAAAUCGAUGCUUUGGGUCAAUACAUGUUGCUCCAUGCUCUAGAUAUGAAACUUCUGCGUACAAGUUAAUGAUCUACAUGUAGAUGUUCCUUACCAGUAAAAGAAUAUCCAUUUAAAACUUGGCAGGUUGGAUGGGGAGCAUGUUGUAUUGGGCAAGGUUAUUCAAGGCAUGGACAUUGUCUACACAAUAGAAGGUGGAGCUGGAACCUACAAUGGAAAACCCAGGAAGAAGGUCGUUAUCUCAGACUCGGGCGAGAUACCCAAGAGCGAUUGGGAAGAAGAAAGCUGAUGCUCAUCAAAUGCUCUCUUGGGUCUGCAAUAGAUCAAGUUUUCAGAAUUUUUGGUGAUUAUUUUGCAUUUUGUUCCUCUGUAUCAUGUUGAUGAAACAAUGCUGAUCAUCAUUUAUUGUGAUCAUGAACUCAGGGAUCAGUGUCUUAGACAUUUUGUAUAUAUGUGUAUUUUUUUAAAAAAUUUUGAUUGUGACUAACAAUGUAGAGGAAUGAAAGAAAAUGAUUCUAUUUUGGAAGCAAUUGUGUGAGGACAAAAGCUAGAGGGAAUGUAGAAGUUUUGGACAUGGUUUUCUUUUAUGGACCUACAUGGAAAACUUUGAGCUUUUGAGAUUUUUUCUUGGAGUGGGGCUGGCUUAUGUAUUACCUCCUUUUGCAUCACUCAGCUUUGUCUAUGUGAUGAUUCUAUACAUCCUAUGUAUAUGGGUUGUGCUCUUUUUGGGUCUUUCAUAUUGAAAGUCUUGAAGGAUUUUUGUUAGUAGCAUUUUCAUUGAAAAUUUGUUUUUGGUAAUGUAAUAUGUAAUAAAUAUACUAAAUGUGAAUAAGAAUGAAGAUAGAUUUUUAAGUGAGAAGUCAUGUUUGGAUUUUGGAAAAAUCAAAGGGAAAUGUAAAAGGAAAAUUAUAAAGACUAAAAAGGAAGUGAAGGAAAAUAAAAAAAAGGAAAAUUAAAAUAUUAUUUUUAUAUUUUAAAAUACCCAUUUCAUUUUUUUUCUCUCUUUUAUAUGAAGAUAAAAUAAUUUAUUUAGUAAAUAAAUAAUAAUAUUUUUUUUCCUUGAAAAGAAAGGUGAGUAUUUACUAUUUCUACCACGUGAUUGUAAAAAAUGGUGGUGGUGUGAGGCAUUGGGCUGGGCUUAGAGACAAUUAUUUAAAUUAACAAUGUGGCCCAUUGGGCUGGCAUGCUGAGGUGGCAGAUUGAAACAAGAAAAAAAAUAUACAGAAAGAAAAUGGAAGCCGAGAGCAUCUCAAUUAUUCUAACCCCCAUCUGCAGCUCGGGCAACACAGUCAACCAAUGAUUCGAUCACAACCACCGCCACCACCAUCUCCGCCACUGCGGCCCCAGAAUCCCCUUUUGUUUCUUCUCUAAACCCACCUUUUUCUCCCCUCGCUCUUCCUUUCUCUCUCUAGGAUGGGUAGCUCUGAAGAACCCGACAGGACUAGUCUCCUCCAUGACUCUUCAUCUCCGACUCACCCUCUCCUCUCCAAAUCCUACCCUUCACCCUCAAUUUCAGAACCUCAGCCUGAAUCCUCCGAACCUGACCAGACCCAGUUCCUCCAGAUCUCCUACAAUUACGGGCCUAGACCCUUCAAGGACCUCCCCUUUCUCAUCCUCUUUCUGGUCGUCGUUCUCUGCACUUUCGGCUUUGGCAUCUUCGCAGUUGUGAAUCGGAACCCCAAUUCUUCCAGCGUUUCUUCUUAUUCUUAUGACUCCAGUUCCACUUCUUGUGUCAAGAACUCCACUGCCUCGCUGAAGCAACAACCCAUUUCGGAUUACUUGAAACUUUCGUCGAGUUCGCAUUUCUUGAAGGAUUUGAUAUGGACCCUUGUAGUUACUUUGAUUUUGAGCAUACCCUUUUCUUGGCUUCUUCUUUUGUCGCUCAAGAAUUACACCAAACAAGUGGUCUACGCCUCGCUUCCCUUCUUUGUUGUGAUGCCCAUUUUCUUUGAUGUGUAUUGGUUUGUGGCUUGUACUGUUAGCUCGAGUUGCAGCGAGGCGUUUCCUUUGGUGUAUAGGAUUUUGUUGCUUGUGUUUGUGUUUUUGUUUAUUGGGGUGAUCGUGUGGAUAAUUGUGGCCAACUGGCAUAGAAUUGAAUUGACUGUGGAUAUAAUUGGGAUUGCCUCCCAUUCGCUAUCGAGGAAUUUGGGGCUGUUUGUGGUUCUUCCAUGUUUGACUUUCAGUUUGGUGAUUUACUAUGCUCCGAUAGUUGUGUUUUUGGUGUUUGCGAGGUUGAAUGGGAAGAUUGUGCCGCGGGAAUCCAGUGGAGAGUAUUAUUGUGUUUGGAAGCAGGAUAGUUGGGUGCCUGCAUAUUAUACAUUGGCAAUUCUAACAAUGUUGUGGUCUGCAACAGCUAUGGUGGAGCUGCAGGUUUAUGUGAUUAGUGGGACUAUUGCACAGUGGUACUUUGCAAAGGAUCACGAUUCCACCCCAAAGAGGAGUAUAAGAAGUUCUUUGAGGUGAUUUACAGUUUUUUUUUUUUUUUUUAUUUGUGUAAUUUAUCCAUAUUUUAUAUGCAGUUUUUGUAAACCUUGGAAGAAACUUGUGAUCAUUCUUGCAUGCAGUAUUUAUUUAUGACUAGUUUCAAGGAUUCAAAAGCAUGUUUAAAGUAUAAAUAUUGAAUGUGUAUGUGUGUUUUUAGGAAGUUAAACAUUGAUACCAUAUGAAUUUUAAGGAGAUUAAAUGAAUUCUCAUUAUUGAUUCUCCUGAUUUUUGUGUUGUCACUCUUUGUUUGAUGAAUUGAAAAUUCAUGUCUUAUAGGUUAGUUUUUUAUAGGGUCGUGUUCUAACAGAGGAGGAA
rnacentral:lncRNA from 1 species